rnacentral:lncRNA from 1 species
AACUAGGCUAGAAUACUAUUAAUAGCACCAAUGACUUUGUGCUAUUAAGUUUUUUGCUGUUGGAUUAAAAGAUAUAUGGUUAGGAUAAUGUGGGCCCCUAGGGUUGAGUGGGUGGUUAGUUGAAUAGUAUAAUCGAACGGUAAUAGCACCAAUGACUUUGUGCUAUUAAGUUUUUUGCCGUUGGAUUAAAAGAUAUAUGGUUAGGAUAAUGUGGGCCCCUAGGGUUGAGUGGGUGGUUAGUUGAAUAGUAUAAUCGAACGGAUGAAAAUGAUAAAAGAGGCAAAUUUAACGGCAGAAAACUUGAUAGCACAAAAUGCUUCAUGCUAUCGAUAGUAUACCGGCAGGACUAUAUAUAUAUAUAUAUAUAU